AAAAAGAAAAUUGGAUUCCUCAAUCCAGGAUCUCUUGCAUUUGGAGAACUUUAGGCUUUCAGCUGUUGCAUGCCUAGGCCUUGUCAUAAUCCAAUAAAGCAGGAUAUGGAACGGGAUAUUGGAUAUGGAAGGGGAUAGGAUUGGUGGAUGAAACAGAGAAAGGGAGAGAGAGACAGAAAACACACACACACACACACACUCUGAGAGAGAGAGAGACACACACAGAGAGAGAGAUUCCGCUGUAACAAACUCUUGGAAGACAGAAAGAGGAGGCAAAGGAGAGGAAGGGCCAGUGACAGCUCUGCUGCUCUGAAAGUCAAGGGGCCCUUGGCUCACUGCCUUCCCCGUCCUUCCCUGGGGCCAGGUGCGCUGGAAUCCUAGAUUCCCUGGGAGUGAGGGUAGGUACCAUGACG
rnacentral:lncRNA from 10 species